rnacentral:rRNA from 1 species
GGAAAAAGAGGAGUGGCGAACGGGUGAGUAACACGUGGGUAACCUGCCCAUCAGAAGGGGAUAACACUUGGAAACAGGUGCUAAUACCGUAUAACAAUCAAAACCGCAUGGUUUUGAUUUGAAAGGCGCUUUCGGGUGUCGCUGAUGGAUGGACCCGCGGUGCAUUAGCUAGUUGGUGAGGUAACGGCUCACCAAGGCCACGAUGCAUAGCCGACCUGAGAGGGUGAUCGGCCACAUUGGGACUGAGACACGGCCCAAACUCCUACGGGAGGCAGCAGUAGGGAAUCUUCGGCAAUGGACGAAAGUCUGACCGAGCAACGCCGCGUGAGUGAAGAAGGUUUUCGGAUCGUAAAACUCUGUUGUUAGAGAAGAACAAGGAUGAGAGUAACUGUUCAUCCCUUGACGGUAUCUAACCAGAAAGCCACGGCUAACUACGUGCCAGCAGCCGCGGUAAUACGUAGGUGGCAAGCGUUGUCCGGAUUUAUUGGGCGUAAAGCGAGCGCAGGCGGUUUCUUAAGUCUGAUGUGAAAGCCCCCGGCUC